AGCCACAUCGCGCACCACCAGCGAGCCGUCGCACAGCGCCUCCAUCAUCUGCGACCAUGUUUUUCACCACCAUGCCGCCGUUCAACACCCAUAGCCGUCAGCCACCCUAAAGCCACCACCGUCAACCUUCAAGCCGCUGCCAGCCACCGUCGCCGGCGUGCUCGCCGACCAUCACGAAGCUUCACGCCACCACCCAAUCUUCCGUGAGCAAGCACCAGUCGAAAUUGCCGUCGCGAGUCUUCUUCCUCGCAGACCACCAUCCACCAUCGCGCAACCAUCAUCAUCACUUCAGCAGGCCACCGCC
rnacentral:lncRNA from 1 species